GUCAAAUCCUGGCCACACAUCACCAACUGCUUCCAACCACUCCAAGGCAAGGUCAACUAUAAAAGGGGGUGUUCAUCUCAAGCAGGCAAAUCUAAAAAGAAAGGGGGAUUCAAUGUUUCCAGGAUCUGUUGAUACUAAACCUGUUGCUCCAAGGAAGGUCAGAUAUGCACCAAAAGCUCCUCCUCGUAGAGCACCCAUUUCUGUUGGACCUAAAAAU